rnacentral:rRNA from 1 species
ACGGAAGGCAGCAGUGGGGUAUAUUGCACAAUGGGGUAAACCCUGAUGCAGCGACGCCGCGUGAGUGAAUAAGGAUUUCGGUAUGUAAAGCUCUAUCAGCAGGGACGAUAAUGACGGUACCUGACUAAGAAGCCCCGGCUAACUACGUGCCAGCAGCCGCGGUAAUACGUAGGGGGCAAGCGUUAUACGGAUUUACUGGGUGUAAAGGGAGCGUAGGUGGCCAUGCAAGUCAGAUGUGAAAACCCGGGGCUCAACCCCGUGACUGCAUUUGAAACUGCGUGGCUGGAGUACAGGAGAGGUAAGCGGAAUUCCUAGUGGAGCGGUGAAAUGCGUAGAUAUUAGGAGGAAAAAGAGUGGCGAAAGCGGCUUACUGGACUGAAACUGACACUAAGGCUCGAAAGAGUGGGGAGCAAACAGGAUUAGAUACCCUGGUA